rnacentral:RNase_P_RNA from 1 species
GCAGCCGCUCUAUCGCCGGCAGAGUAUUCUGCGGGAGGAAAGUCCGGGCAGCGCAGAGCCACCAUACUUCUUAACGGGAAGGGACGCGGGGCGUAAGCCACGCGCCACAGCAAGUGCCGCAGAAAAUAUACCGCUGAUUUUGCACGUCCAUCGUGCAGAAAGCAAGGGUGAAAACGCGAGGCAAGGGCUCACGACGGGCGCAGUGAUGCGUCUGAUGGUAAACCUUAUGGGCUGAAAAACCAAAUAUACCAGCAGUCAAGGGUUGGCUCGCCCGUUGCUGGGGGGUAGGUUGAUUGAGGCAGUCGGCGACGGCUGUCCUAGAUUAAUGAUAGAGGGCCGCGCAAGCGGUUACAGAACCCGGCUUACAGGCUGCCG